ensembl:lncRNA
CUGUAAGGUAACAAUUGCAGGUUAAAACCAGUGAAUGAUUUAACAUCAUGAAGUCCAUCGUUGCAAGUAAAUGGUUAAAAUGCACGUAUAGUGACAAUUAUUAGCGAAUCUCUUCAGACAAUACAGUAUGGUGGCGAUUAACCUAUAUUAUCACAGCCUUUUGCUUUAUUAAACAUCCUGUGCGUCACUCCCUCUUCCACGCAGAUCUUUCUGCAGAAGCCCUUCCAGUUCUUGGAAGGAGAGAAAGGUGCUGUGAUUUUUAUUUUUAUUUUUUCGUGGUCGUACGUCGUUUUCUAAUAAAUUGCGAACUUAAUGCUUAAUUUAUUCUCUCGUAGCUGGCUACGGACUAUAUAAACAUCAUGGGUGACGGCAAAUGCGAGUUAAUAUCCGGGCACAGUUUCGCAUUGGCAAAAACAUCGACCGCUGGAGCACUGAAACUUUAGAGAAAAACUGUGGUUUGAACUGAGAAUCGGCUAACGUCUGGAGACUCCACAGAGCUUCAUUCAGAACAUGUGAACUCACCCUCGUGGAUGUUUAACGGGAUUCUUUAAGGAUCGAGAUCAUCUCGUCCGCUCCUCUCGCGCAGAAGCUCGUCUGAAUCAACGUCACGCGUCUAUCAAUGUCGUGUGCUUUUUAAUUUUUUAAUUUUGUUUAUUUUUUUAUUUUAUUUUUGUCGCGCUCAGUGUUUUUUUUUUUGAAAUACUCAAAGGAUUUAAUCGGACAUAAACAUUUCCAGUUGCAUGAGGACCAACAUCGUUCUUUCUUAACUAACAGCGGAAAGUAGGACAGGAGUGGCUGAUUUGAAGACAAGCUUGUCACUGAUCUUCAAAGACUCAAGAUGGUACAGAUGAUUUCUAAUGGAAGUAACAGUGAAGUGGCAGGAUUUCAGAGAACAUGUGAAGAUGGGGCUGAGAGAAGACAGCACACUCACAUAUUACCUCAAUUCUACAUUUCAGGGGUCAAGGAUUGUUUGACCCCAAACUAUUUUCCCCGAAUUCCUUUUUUUUCUGUUUUAAUUUUUUUUAGACUCUGUUUUAAAGAUUAAAUUAAAUUGUAUUAAUCAAAAUGAAUGUCUAAUGAA